rnacentral:lncRNA from 1 species
CCACAAAUAUCUGUGUGUAUCAAUUCUAAGACAUCUGAAGUUCUUUUAGCACCUAAUCUCCUUGUUUUGGUCUGUUUUCCCUUGAUACACUCAAUACAGACAUCAAAAUCGGUGAAAUCAAGGGAAUCCAAAAUACCAUCUGACACAAGUCGUUCAACUCUAGCUUUUGAGAUAUGACCUAAGCGCUUGUGCCAUAAUGUUGCAGAAUUUUCUUUAUUUAAUUUGCGUUUAGUACCACGUGAAUCCACAUGCAAGGUCUCAUUAUAUGAUGUAAUAAUAUCAAGCAAAUACAGGUUAUCAUAUGCAGAUAAUGAACCAGUACCAAUAAUAUUGGAAUUUAAAGAAAGACUAAACUGAUUGUUUCCAAAUGAACAACAAUAACCUAAUUUGUCCAACGAAGAAACAGAAAUUAAAUUCCGUCUAAAAGACGGUACAACGAAAGUGUCUUUCAAAUCCAAAUAACAACCAGUUCUUAAUAACAACCUAAAAGUCCCUAUUACAUCAACUUCCACCGAUUUGCCAUUACCCACAUAGAUGUAUCUUUCAUCAUCACUUGGCUUUCGGUAGUUCAGGCAGCCCUGCAUAGAAACACUUAUAUGAGUAGUAGCACCAGAAUCUAUCCACCAAGUGUUUCUAGGUACUGAAGCUAAAUUAUCCUCAGAACAGACCAAAGUAAGAAGUGUACCUUUCUUUGUACGCCAUGCGUGAUAUUUGGCACAGUCCUUCUUCAUAUGUCCAGACUGAUGGCAAAAGAAACAAGUAUCUUUGUCUUCCUUUCGUUUCUUUUGUGCUGGACCCUUAGGAGCAGCUUCAUAUUCCUUCUUCUUUUUCUUGCCCUUAUCCUUAGAAGUGCUUGCCAAGUGAGCACUUUCAGUUCUUUCUUGCUUCAACCUUUCUUCCUCUUGCACACAAUAUGAAAUGAGCUCAUUUAAAGACCAUUUCUCCUUCUGGCAGUUAUAACUGACCUUAAAUAUCUAUCCACCAAGUGUUUCUAGGUACUGAAGCUAAAUUAUCCUCAGAACAGACCAAAGUAAGAAGUGUACCUUUCUUUGUACGCCAUGCGUGAUAUUUGGCACAGUCCUUCUUCAUAUGUCCAGACUGAUGGCAAAAGAAACAAGUAUCUUUGUCUUCCUUUCGUUUCUUUUGUGCUGGACCCUUAGGAGCAGCUUCAUAUUCCUUCUUCUUUUUCUUGCCCUUAUCCUUAGAAGUGCUUGCCAAGUGAGCACUUUCA